AGUCCGCUCACGCGGUGAUGGGACUCAUGCGCAUGCGCAGAGCUUUGCUCGCCUCAGUUGAGGCUUUCUGUGUUCAGCGGGGCAGGAGCCGAUGGUUCCCGUCACCACCGCUGCCGGUAAGUUCGAGGAGAAGCUUGGAGAAGAUCAUGAUGCUGGGGAAAAUGGAAGAAAAAAGGAAGAGAGGCCGACCAAGGGCGAGAUGGAUGGACGGUAUCCUUGAAGUGACUGGCUUGACCUUGAGGGAACUGGGGGCGGAGACGGCCGACAUGGAGCUCUGGCCUGGACUGGUCCAGGAGGUCACCAAGAGACUGAGACGACUAUGCGACCAAGCAGCAGCAGCAGUGUGAAAUUGCGGACAAGCCCCUUCCAACGGUCAGCACACAACGGCCAGUUAUUUAGGAGGGAAGGCAUUGCAAGAACAGGAGAAGGGAAACAACAGAGACUUUAUGCAAUUUACAGCACGCAUGCUCGAAGGGUACAAGUGUAAAAGCAUAACCAUAAGCAGAAGAUUUUAUAUACAAGGAUUCUCAUGCAUCAACCCUGCUAUGUUUGAAACUCCCUCCCGAGAAGCCGGCCAGUGUCCCCCAGGCCUGUGGUUGGUCAUGCUGGGGAGACAAAGAAAGAGCCCCAAAGAUGUCUAUUGUUGAUGGGAUCGUAAUCAGGGCUUCGUCCUGGACCUCUGUCCCGUGGAUGGCUGAGAUCCCCGAAGGAGGGCUGCUGGCAGUGGGGAGCGGGCCCUUUGUGCCAGAGAUUAUGUCCCACCUCUGGUCCUCACAGCGGGCAUGGAAUGGGUAUCUGGAAUUGCUCCAGAGGGGUGGCUGGAGUUCAUGGGGCUGGGCUGUAGCUCCGCUGGUCAAUCAUCAGCAGUAAUAAGAUCUACCAACCGAAAGGCGGCCAGUUCAAAGCCCAGUCGGGGUGAGCGCUCGACCUCACGCCCAGCUUACUGUUUACCUAAGUAGUUCAAAAACAGCUUAUUUAUUUACAGUAUUUAUAUUCCGUCCUUCUCACCCCAAAGGGGACUCAGGGCGGAUCACAUUACACAUAUAAGGCAACACAUUCAAUGCUUAACAUAGAACAAAGACAAAGACAAACACGGGGCUCCGAGCUGGCCUCGAACUCAUGACCUCUUGGUCAGAGUGAUUUGUUGCACUGGCUGUAGCUGGUUGCUCAACAGCCUGCGCCACAGCCCGGGCUUAGAAGCUGUGAGUAGAGAAAUUUGGUACCGCAAAAAUGUGGGGGAGGCAUUUUAUGACACAAUAAAUAACAAGACCAGAAAUGUGGUGACGGAGAGGAAGGUGGAAGGAGGAAGUCCUGAUGGCUCUUCAUCAUAGAGAAUGGCGCAACAGCACCCCCUGUGGCUGAAUCUGAGCACAACCUCAACCUCCAAGGCACCAAAAACUGGACUUCAAGACUACAUCCCUCCUUCUGUUUGUCUUAUUCUGUUCUGUCCUGUCUGUCCAAAUGGCAUUGACUGUUUGCUGUGUAUGUGUACUGUGAUCCGCCCUGAGUCUCCUUGGGAAGACAGGGUGGAAUAUAAAUAAAGUGUUGUUGUUAUUGUUGUUGUUGUUAUUAUUAUUGGUUCAUGUACAUUUGCCUUCAUUGUAUAGAGUUCAAUAGUAAUAGUUGUCAGAACCCUUCUUCCAGGGCCUGGAUUAUGGCGCCAGAAAUCAGGGUCACUGAUAUUAUGAACUGACUAGCUGUGCCCGGCCACGCAUUGUUGUGGCGAAGUCUGGUGGUAUGGGCAAUAAAGUAUUGAGGAAUUGGUGGUAGUUAAGGUAAAGGGUCAAGGUUUCCCCCUGAUAUUAAGUCCAGUCGUGUCUGACUAUGGGAGUUGGGGCUCAUCUCCAUUUCUAAGCCGAAGAGCCGGCGUUGUCCGUAGACACCUCCAAGGUCGUGUGGCCGGCAUGACUGCAUGGAGCGCCAUUACCUUCUUGCUGGAGCAGUACCUGUUUAUCUACUCUCAUUUGAAUGUUUUCGAACUUCUGGGUUGGCAGAAGCUGGGGCUUUAGAUAAUCUGUGGAAGAGGCCUAAGUGAGGCCUAACUCUGCCUGUCCCCUGGGCUGAGUGGGUUGCUAGGAGACCAAGUGGGCAGAGCUUAGCCUUCUAACUGGCAGCAAUUGGAUAAAAACAAUUAUUCCUCUCCCUCUAAUUAGGACUUUAUUUUUCUUUUCUUUUUGUUGUAUCAACCUAGAGCUGUGGAUGAUGAGUUGUGUUGUCAAAUUUCGAGGCUGGGGGGGCCUGUAGUUCUGUUGUUUUGUCCGCUGCCCUGAUGCCAUCACUCUUUUAUAUAUAUAGAUAAGACACCUGCAACUCGUAACCCUGAGAAGAAAGGCUGCUGGACUUGGCUGAGAAAUUUCGUGGGGUUUUUGUCGGGCAGGAACUAUGUCUUUGAAUGAGGGGGAGGGUAUAUAAAGGAAUGCUGACCGGUGCCUCACAUUCUUGACUUUUGCAUAUCGAUGUUUCCUAUAGUAAAGUUUCUAGAGAUAA